rnacentral:rRNA from 1 species
UACAGAGGUGGCAAGCGUUGUUCGGAAUUACUGGGCGUAAAGGGCGCGUAGGCGGCCUUUUUAGUCAGACGUGAAAUCCCCCGGCUUAACCUGGGAACUGCGUCUGAUACUGGGAGGCUAGAGUUCGGGAGAGGGAUGUAGAAUUCCAGGUGUAGCGGUGAAAUGCGUAGAUAUCUGGAGGAAUACCGGUGGCGAAGGCGGCAUCCUGGACCGAAACGUGACGCUGAUGCGCGAAAGCUAGGGGAGCAAACGGG